rnacentral:rRNA from 1 species
AGGCUUAACACAUGCAAGUCGAGGGGCAGCACGAUGUAGCAAUACGUUGGUGGCGACCGGCGCACGGGUGAGUAACGCGUAUGCAACCURCCCURUACAGRGGGAUAACCCGGAGAAAUUCGGACUAAUACCGCAUAAUGAUAUUUGAGGGCAUCCUUAGAUAUUUAAAGCUUCGGUGGUACGGGAUGGGCAUGCGGAACAUUAGCUAGUUGGCAGGGUAAUGGCCUACCAAGGCAAUGAUGUUUAGGGGACCUGAGAGGGUGAUCCCCCACACUGGUACUGAGACACGGACCAGACUCCUACGGGAGGCAGCAGUGAGGAAUAUUGGUCAAUGGGCGGAAGCCUGAACCAGCCAUCCCGCGUGCAGGAAGACGGCCCUAUGGGUUGUAAACUGCUUUUCCAGGGGGCGAAACUUUCCGAUGUAUCGGGAUUUGACGGUACCCUGGGAAUAAGCAUCGGCUAACUCCGUGCCAGCAGCCGCGGUAAUACGGAGGAUGCGAGCGUUAUCCGGAUUUAUUGGGUUUAAAGGGUGCGUAGGCGGAUCGAUAAGUCAGUGGUGAAACCCUGCAGCUUAACUGUAGACUUGCCGUUGAUACUGUUGGUCUUGAGUGUGGUCAAGGUAGGCGGAAUGUGUAAUGUAGCGGUGAAAUGCUUAGAUAUUACACAGAACACCGAUUGCGAAGGCAGCUUACUGGGCCAUUACUGACGCUGAUGCACGAAAGCGUGGGGAUCGAACAGGAUUAGAUACCCUGGUAGUCCACGCCGUAAACGAUGAUCACUCGCUGUUGGCGAUACACAGUCAGCGGCUAAGCAAAAGCAUUAAGUGAUCCACCUGGGGAGU